rnacentral:lncRNA from 1 species
UUACUUUUUUAGAGUUUUUUAAUUUCCUUUUAAGAGUUUUUCUUCUUUGUUUAUCUGUUUGAAGAUCUGAGAUCGCUAAAGUGAUAUUUGUGAUGAUCUGUUCAAUUUAAGUCGAUCAUUUUUUUCGUUUGUGUAAGUUAGUUUUCUAUCAUUUUUACUCUCGGUCCAAUUUAUCUUACAUUUGCAUGAGGUCCUUCUUUUGGUUCCAUGUGUCAUUUAAGUUGUCAAUAUGAGUAUAUUGAUCAAUCAUCAUGAUGGUAUAUCCCGAUGGUUUUUAUGAUUUUUCUAUAUGUAGAUAUAUCAUCCUAUGGAUUUAGAGGUGUUUUGGUGCUUUUAGAUUUCUUAAGUUAGGUCACAAAUGAAGGAAGUUAAUUAUAGAUUUUUGGAUGUUGAGAUUUGUUAAUCGGUAUUAUGAAUUAUGAAUGUGGUGUUUUAAGUUUUAUUUUGCUCUAUGAUGUUUAACUGUAAAAUGACAAAUAGUGUGAGCGCUUGAUUUGGCUUUAAAGUUAUGCAAUAUACACUUGUAAAAUUAUUUAAUCACUUGUAAAAUUAUUCAAUAUCCUAUAAUUCACUUUAUUUACUUCAUAUCCAAUGCAUUU